rnacentral:rRNA from 1 species
GACGAACGCUGGCGGCGUGCUUAACACAUGCAAGUCGAACGGAAAGGCCCUGCUUUUGUGGGGUGCUCGAGUGGCGAACGGGUGAGUAACACGUGAGUAACCUGCCCUUGACUUUGGGAUAACUUCAGGAAACUGGGGCUAAUACCGGAUAGGAGCUCCUGCUGCAUGGUGGGGGUUGGAAAGUUUCGGCGGUUGGGGACGGACUCGCGGCUUAUCAGCUUGUUGGUGGGGUAGUGGCUUACCAAGGCUUUGACGGGUAGCCGGCCUGAGAGGGCGACCGGCCACAUUGGGACUGAGAUACGGCCCAGACUCCUACGGGAGGCAGCAGUGGGGAAUAUUGCACAAUGGGCGGAAGCCUGAUGCAGCAACGCCGCGUGCGGGAUGACGGCCUUCGGGUUGUAAACCGCUUUCGCCUGUGACGAAGCGUGAGUGACGGUAAUGGGUAAAGAAGCACCAGCUAACUACGUG